rnacentral:ncRNA from 2 species
UGACACUCAGCGGAUUGCGGCCGGCGGUACACUCAGCGGGCCGAUGCGGUUAACCCGGUGCGAAUCCGGGGCGGUCGCGCCACUGUGAGCGGUCCGCCGACGACGCCGUCGGACUGCGAGCCAGACAGUCGCAUCGGUGUGAACAAU